GGAUUUGAAUUGGGCUACUCCAUGGAGAAACCGAAUUCGCCAGUAUUCUGGGAAGCUCAGUUUGGUGAUUUCUCCAAUGGUGCACAAGUGAUAUUCGACCAGUUUCUGAGUAGUGUAGCGGCCAAAUGGCUCCGCCAAACUGGCCUUGUUGGUCUACUGUCUCAUCGUUAUGAUGGCAAGGUCCUGAACACUCCAUCUCCCAUCUUGAGCGCUUCCUUCAGAAGGACCAGACAGAGAAGGUGAAGAAAAAGGAAAAGCCCCUACUGUUCAUUUUUCCAUUGAGUUGAUUUCCUCGCUGUCCAUCAUCAUGGUUUCAGUUUAUCGAUUCUUGGCAUUGACAGUCUGGUUCCGUCGAGAUCGAUAAUGAAGAUGUCAAUGCCCAUGGAAGUGGCAAGCAGAUCACCAGGCAGAAGUUGAGGCGAUCAUUAGUUACCAGUAGUCGUAAUGAAGAAGCCAAGGCCAUGCAGCUGUUAGUGAUGGGCCCUGUGAGGAUGCCCACCAAGGUGCUCAACAUCAGCACCAGGAAGUCCCCCCCUGUGGCGCAAGGUGACCUCUCCCGCCUCUCUGCUCGAUCCCAUUUACUUGGUUGAUCCCUGCCAAUAUUGUGUGGUAUAUACUUGGUGAAUUUGUCAUCCCAUCAGU